rnacentral:rRNA from 1 species
CACGUAGGGCGCAAGCGUUGUCCGGAAUUAUUGGGCGUAAAGGGCUCGUAGGCGGUUUGUCGCGUCGGGAGUGAAAACCAUGGGCUUAACUCAUGGCUUGCUUCCGAUACGGGCAGACUAGAGGCAUGCAGGGGAGAACGGAAUUCCUGGUGUAGCGGUGAAAUGCGCAGAUAUCAGGAGGAACACCGGUGGCGAAGGCGGUCUCUGGGCAUGUCCUGACGCUGAGGAGCGAAAGUGUGGGGAGCGAACAGG